AUGAACCAGCUGUGGUUCUUCCUCUCUCUGCUGUCAGCUCCCAGAGGUGUCCUGUCCCAGGUGCAGCUUCUGGAGUCAGGACCCAGCCUGGUGAAGGCCUCACACACCCUCUCCCUCACCUGCACUCUCUCUGGUUGCUCAUUAACCAGCUAUGGUGUAACCUGGGCCCGCCAGCCUCCAGGAAAGGGGCGAUUGAGAGAGUGGCAUAACUCAACUCUUAAGUCACGGCUCAGCAUCACCUCCAAGAGCCAAGUUUAUUUAUCGCUGAGCAGCCUGACAACUGAGGACACAGUCGUGUAUUACUGUGCGAGAGACUCAGUGAGGGGAAGUCAGUGUGUCCUGUCUGACCUGACACUGCAGGAGUCUGGCCCAGGACUGGUGAAGCCCUCACAGACCCUGACCCUCACCUGUGCUGUCUCCGGGGGCUCUGUAACCAGCAGUUACUAG